rnacentral:rRNA from 1 species
UACGGAGGGGGCUAGCGUUAUUCGGAAUUACUGGGCGUAAAGCGCACGUAGGCGGACUGGAAAGUUGGGGGUGAAAGCCCAGGGCUCAACUCUGGAACUGCCUUCAAAACUCCCAGUCUUGAGGUCGAGAGAGGUGAGUGGAAUUCCGAGUGUAGAGGUGAAAUUCGUAGAUAUUCGGAGGAACACCAGUGGCGAAGGCGGCUCACUGGCUCGAUACUGACGCUGAGGAGCGAAAGCGUGGGGAGCGAACAGG